rnacentral:misc_RNA from 1 species
AAGUCGUAACAAGGUUUCCGUAGGUGAACCUGCGGAAGGAUCAUUAAAGAGAUAGGGUCUUCAUGGCCCGACCUCCAACCCUCUGUUGUUAUUAACUACCCUUGUUUGCUUUGGCGGGGACCUGUCUCGGUCUCCGAGGCGCACUAACCCUCGGGUUGGUGAGCGCCCGCCAGGGUCCCAACCAAAACUCUUGUAUUAAAACCAGUCGUCUGAGUUAAAAAUUUUAAUUAAAAAUUAAAAU